rnacentral:tRNA from 1 species
GGGGGUGUAGCUCAGUGGUAGAGUGCUUGUCUACCACGUGUGAGGUCCUGGGUUCCACCCCUAGAACCACCA